rnacentral:rRNA from 1 species
UAUAGCAUAUCAAUAAGCGGAGGAAAAGAAACCAACAGGGAUUGCCCUAGUAACGGCGAGUGAAGCGGCAACAGCUCAAAUUUGAAAUCUGGCGUCUUUGGCGUCCGAGUUGUAAUUUGCAGAGGGCGCUUUGGCAUUGGCAGCGGUCCAAGUUCCUUGGAACAGGACGUCACAGAGGGUGAGAAUCCCGUACGUGGUCGCUAGCCUUUACCGUGUAAAGCCCCUUCGACGAGUCGAGUUGUUUGGGAAUGCAGCUCUAAAUGGGAGGUAAAUUUCUUCUAAAGCUAAAUACUGGCCAGAGACCGAUAGCGCACAAGUAGAGUGAUCGAAAGAUGAAAAGCACUUUGGAAAGAGAGUUAAAAAGCACGUGAAAUUGUUGAAAGGGAAGCGCUUGCAGCCAGACUUGCCUGUAGUUGCUCAUCCGGGUUUUUACCCGGUGCACUCUUCUACGGGCAGGCCAGCAUCAGUUUGGGCGGUUGGAUAAAGGUCUCUGUCAUGUACCUCCUCUCGGGGAGAUCUUAUAGGGGAGACGACAUGCAACCAGCCUGGACUGAGGUCCGCGCAUCUGCUAGGAUGCUGGCGUAAUGGCUGUAAGCGGCCCGUCUUGAAACACGGACCAAGGAGUCUAACAUCUAUGCGAGUGUUUGGGUGUCAAGCCCGAACGCGUAAUGAAAGUGAACGGAGGUGGGAACCUUUCGGGGUGCACCAUCGACCGAUCCUGAUGUCUUCGGAUGGAUUUGAGUAAGAGCAUAGCUGUUGGGACCCGAAAGAUGGUGAACUAUGCUUGAAUAGGGUGAAGCCAGAGGAAACUCUGGUGGAGGCUCGCAGCGGUUCUGACGUGCAAAUCGAUCGUCAAAUUUGGGCAUAGGGGCGAAAGACUAAUCGAACUAUCUAGUAGCUGGUUCUGCGA